rnacentral:rRNA from 1 species
AAGCUAUUUAGGUAGCGCCUCGUGAAUUCAUCUCCGGGGGUAGAGCACUGUUUCGGCUAGGGGGCCAUCCCGGCUUACCAACCCGAUGCAAACUGCGAAUACCGGAGAAUGUUAUCACGGGAGACACACGGCGGGUGCUAACGUCCGUCGUGAAGAGGGAAACAACCCAGACCGCCAGCUAAGGUCCCAAAGUCAUGGUUAAGUGGGAAACGAUGUGGGAAGGCCCAGACAGCCAGGAUGUUGGCUUAGAAGCAGCCAUCAUUUAAAGAAAGCGUAAUAGCUCACUGGUCGAGUCGGCCUGCGCGGAAGAUGUAACGGGGCUAAACCAUGCACCGAAGCUGCGGCAGCGACGCUGAUGCGUUGUUGGGUAGGGGAGCGUUCUGUAAGCCUGCGAAGGUGGCCUGUGAGGGUUGCUGGAGGUAUCAGAAGUGCGAAUGCUGACAUAAGUAACGAUAAAGCGGGUGAAAAGCCCGCUCGCCGGAAGACCAAGGGUUCCUGUCCAACGUUAAUCGGGGCAGGGUGAGUCGACCCCUAAGGCGAGGCCGAAAGGCGUAGUCGAUGGGAAACGGGUUAAUAUUCCCGUACUUGGUGUUACUGCGAAGGGGGGACGGAGAAGGCUAUGUUGGCCGGGCGACGGUU